rnacentral:snRNA from 1 species
UCUUCCUGCUUCUCAAAGCUUUG